rnacentral:rRNA from 1 species
GGUGAACGCUGGCGGUAGGCCUAACACAUGCAAGUCGAACGGCGGCACAGUAAGAGCUUGCUCUUACGGGUGGCGAGUGGCGGACGGGUGAGGAAUACAUCGGAAUCUACUUUUUCGUGGGGGAUAACGUAGGGAAACUUACGCUAGUACCGCAUACGACCUACGGGUGAAAGCAGGGGAUCUUCGGACCUUGCGCGAUUGAAUGAGCCGAUGUCGGAUUAGCUAGUUGGCGGGGUAAAGGCCCACCAAGGCGACGAUCCGUAGCUGGUCUGAGAGGAUGAUCAGCCACACUGGAACUGAGACACGGUCCAGACUCCUACGGGAGGCAGCAGUGGGGAAUAUUGGACAAUGGGCGCAAGCCUGAUCCAGCCAUACCGCGUGGGUGAAGAAGGCCUUCGGGUUGUAAAGCCCUUUUGUUGGGAAAGAAAAGCAGCAGGUUAAUACCCCGCUGUUCUGACGGUACCCAAAGAAUAAGCACCGGCUAACUUCGUG